GAUCAUAAGAGUUUGCGAUAUCAAUUAACAUUCUACUCACUUUCCGUUUAGAUAGUUAGUCAAGCCCUGCUUGAAAACUUCUGUCGUGAGGAAGUGGUCCAUCAUUCUUAUUAUGGAAGCACCUGAAGAAUUCCGAAUAGCGCGUGGCAUGAUCCGUCCGGUACCUUUUCCAUACGAAAUCUUGUCAAAGAUCUCGCUGAUCUCGUCAGGAUGGCCGACCACGAUAGAUAUAGGAUGAGAGGACUCCAAAGCGUCCAGGGCAAACACAUUUUGCAGAUCGUGAACGACGAAUUGUUCCAGGACCUUCCACGUCGGUUCUACCUGUAAUCGCAGGUGCAUGCAACAUUCUUACCUGUAAGUUAUCAGGCCCCAGUUUUCCAUGGCGCCCGCGGAGAAGUCUGGCAAAGCGAUCAUAUCCAUCUUCGGCAGAGGAAACUUAAUCUUGAAG